UACGGAGGGAGCUAGCGUUGUUCGGAUUUACUGGGCGUAAAGGGCGUGUAGGCGGCCUUGUAAGUCGGGCGUGAAAAACUCUGGCUCAACCAGAGACGUGCGUCUGAUACUGUGAGGCUUGAGUGCAGGAGAGGAGAGCGGAAUUCCUGGUGUAGCGGUGAAAUGCGUAGAUAUCAGGAAGAACACCAGUGGCGAAGGCGGCUCUCUGGUCUGUCACUGACGCUGAGGCGCGAAAGCCAGGGGAG
rnacentral:rRNA from 1 species